CCUACGGGUGGCAGCAGUGAGGAAUAUUGGUCAAUGGGCGAGAGCCUGAACCAGCCAAGUAGCGUGAAGGAUGAAUGCCCUAUGGGUUGUAAACUUCUUUUAUAAAGGAAUAAAGCGAGGCACGUGUGCCUUUUUGUAUGUACUUUAUGAAUAAGGAUAGGCUAACUUCGUGCCAGCAGCCGCGGUAAUACGGAGGAUCCGAGCGUUAUCCGGAUUUAUUGGGUUUAACGGGAGCGUAGAUGGGUUGUUAAGUCAGUUGUGAAAGGUUGCGGCUCAACCGGAAAAUUGCAAUUGAUACUGGCAGUCUUGAGUACAGUUGAGGUAGGCGGAAUUCGUGGUGUAGCGGUGAAAUGCUUAGAGAUCACGAAGAACUCCGAUUGCGAAGGCAGCUUACUAAACUGUGACUGACAUUGAUGCUCGAAAGUGUGGGUAUCAAACAGGAUUAGAUACCCGAGUAGUC
rnacentral:rRNA from 1 species